rfam:Ictidomys tridecemlineatus contig109675, whole genome shotgun sequence.
GUGUGGAAAAAAAGGAAAGAAAGGUCAGCACAAAAGGACAGAGGAGAUUUGUGUCUAGAGAACAACAUGGUAUAAAGACAUCACUCAUUGGUUUUUUGUGUUUUUUUGCUAUCAAAAUAUUCU